rnacentral:tRNA from 1 species
AUCUCUGUAGCGCAAUGAUAGCGCGUCGGGCUUCUAAUCCGAAGGUCGUGUUUUUAAAUCCCACCUGGGAUG